UUUUCUCUGUAUACUAUACGAGUAUCUUUGUAGGAUAUCGUGAAAGCAAUUUAAAAUCAAUUACAAACUACUGUUUAAGAUCUCUCACAAAGUAAUAAGUGAGAAAGAUAAUAAGACGAAUGCCAUUAAUUUGCAUAUUAGCUACAUGCCGUUCUUCUGGAGUUGCUGCUUGAUCUACUUCAAUGAAUCCUUGACUGUGUGGGCUUCUAGCGCUACGUCUUUUGAAAAUUGCAAUACCUACUAUCGCAGCUGCCAUCAAAGCAAUACCAGCAAAUGCCACGGUUCGGAAUGUGAAACAUCAUGAGUCAUGCUACGAGAAGCCUUAAUAAUUCCUUCAUUGUGUAUAGCCGCUGCUGAAGAUUGCUGUUGAGCCUGUGGCUGUUGUUCCAACGGCUGAAUCGAAUCUUUUUUUUCAAUAACAG